UACAGAGGGGGCAAGCGUUGUUCGGAAUUACUGGGCGUAAAGAGCGCGCAGGCGGUCGUUCAAGUCGCGUGUGAAAGCCCCCGGCUCAACUGGGGAGGGUCACGCGAUACUGAUCGACUCGAAGGCAGGAGAGGGAAGUGGAAUUCCCGGUGUAGUGGUGAAAUGCGUAGAUAUCGGGAGGAACACCGAUGGCGAAGGCAAUCCCCUGGGCCUGCACUGACGCUCAUGCACGAAAGCGUGGGGAGCAAACAGG
rnacentral:rRNA from 1 species